rnacentral:misc_RNA from 1 species
AUGUUAACAGGUCGGCCCUACAUUAAUGUUCGUGCGUCCAAUCGCGUUGGUGGUGUGCCCUCGCGGGUUUUGCUAAAGUCAGAGCAGAUAACUCCUAAUUCGACAAAUCAAUUGGAACACGUUGCCGUCAAGUUCAUUGAGGAUCUGCAGCAGAAACUUUUAUCAACACGCGCCAGUGAUCAGGUGCUGAAGUAUCGUCUGGUUGAGCUCUGUGCGCUGAUCCAACGCACCCCGGCCCUUGAGCUAUAUACGCAUCUGCGCAGCGGAGUGCAGAAGGAACUGCAGUUAGCAGCCGAGAAGAGUGUCGCCGUUGCCAGCGCAGGCCAAUCGAUGCCGCUGAACACAUAUAACAUGAACAAUGCCGCAGUUGCCGCAGCCGUUGGUAUGAACACUGGCUAUGUCGAUGCUAGUGAUUUGCUAGGAGUUGCCGGUACCGGAGUAUCCCCAGUGGCUGGUGGCAUGCCAGCUGGAAUAAUGCAUAAUAUGGCCGAAACCGCUGCGCCCGGCAGAGUGGGCCCAGCUAAAAUGGAGUUGUAUGAAGUACAUAAUCAGAUAUUCCAAAGCUUCAACGAAUUCACCACAUGCUCCGAGAGUCUGAAAGUCUUGGUGCAGAACUAUCGCUAUAUGCUAAACGCACCCAAUUCGCCCGAUGCGGAACGUCUGUUCAAGAGUUUGAUUGAGGACAAGGCCGCCCUGGUGGCCAGGCUGCGACGCAGCUUUAUGUUCUACGAUCAACUGCAAGAUAUGGUCAUAACGGAACUUAAGAACUGGCGGCGCCAACAGGCUCUAGCCGGGAAUGGAGCACAGUUUAGCGAGAAUAUGCUGGAUGAUAUACAGCGGUGCUUUGAGCUGCUGGAAUCUUUUGUCACCCAUCUGCUGACGGCUGUCAAGGAGACGCUCCUGGUGCGCAUCGUAAACGAUGAUCCCGAUCUGAACUGUCUGCUCGAACAAGUGCAGGUGGCACAAAAGAAUCUAGUGUGCUCUGCUUUCAUUGUGGACAAACAGCCGCCGCAGGUAAUGAAGACAAACACACGCUUUGCGGCCUCAGUGCGUUGGCUGCUUGGAUCCCAGCUGGGCAUACACAUGAAUCCGCCCACAGUCGAGUGUAUUAUAAUGUCUGAGUUGCAGGCACAGCGCUUUGUGACGCGCGGCACACAUAUGGAUGUGACCAAUGGCAGCCUCGCUGGACAGUCGUCGGGCGAGAUACAGAACUGCUCCAGCACCAUGGAGUAUCAGCAGAGCAGUCAUGUAUUCUCCGCGAGCUUCAGAAACAUGCAGCUCAAGAAGAUCAAGCGCGCCGAGAAGAAGGGCACCGAAAGCGUCAUGGAUGAAAAGUUUGCAUUGUUCUUCUAUGCGACCACAACAGUGAAUGAUUAUCAGAUUCGCGUCUGGACACUGUCGCUGCCGGUGGUGGUUAUUGUUCAUGGUAACCAGGAGCCGCAAUCGUGGGCCACCAUUACUUGGGACAAUGCAUUCGCUGAUAUUGUGCGUGAUCCGUUCGUGGUCACAGAUCGCGUCACUUGGCGUCAGUUGUCAGUCGCACUCAACACCAAAUUCGGCUCCUGCACACAGCGCGCCCUGACAGCGGAGAACUUGGAGUUUUUAUUCGAGAAGCUGCAGCGUGAUAAUAUUGCCGGCGAGCGCAAUGAGUAUAUUUCAUGGAAUCAAUUUUGUAAGGAGCCACUGCCGGAUCGUACUUUCACUUUCUGGGAAUGGUUCUUUGCCAUUAUGAAGCUGACCAAAGACCACUUGUUAUCCAUGUGGAAAGCCGGCCGCAUUACGGGCUUCAUCAACAAGGCCAAGGCACACGACGAUCUCUUGCGCGCCGUUACUGGCAUUGGCACAUUUCUGUUGCGUUUCUCCGAUAGUGAAUUGGGUGGCGUUACCAUUGCCUAUGUGAACGCUUGUGGAUCGGUGACAAUGCUUUCGCCAUGGACUGCACGGGAUUUCCAAAUACUCAAUUUGGCUGAUCGCAUACGCGAUCUGGAUAUGCUGCGUUGCCUGCAUCCGACCGACGUCAAUGUGCAACCAUUGGAUCGCGAUCUCGCUUUUGGCGACUUUUAUACACAGCGCGCUGAACCAACGCCCCGCGUCGAUGGAUAUGUUCCCAGCACGAUACGCGUGCAGGUGCGUACCAGUGGGGAUACGGGCUCCAUCAGUGGCACGCCCCAUCACCCAAUGCAGUCACCGCCGCAGGAUAGCAUGUCGAUGGGAAAUUAUUCGCCGCGUAGUGGCAUGUCCUGUAAUCCAUCGAGCGUCGCAACCACAUCCUAUUACAAGGAUGAUUCUGAUUCAGAUGAUAGCACUGUGGCGCAGGCGCUCGAGAAUUAUGUCAACAAUACAGCGCCAGACGAUCCCAUACUGGAUCAGAUAAGUCACACCAUAUACAAUGUGUGCGCCAAUGGGCCAGAAGCGCAGUGGAUGAUGGCCACUAAAUCAACAUAUGCGGUGCCAUCGCCCUAUAAUCAAACGGUGCAAUACUAAGAACAUAACGUAAAUUCGAAUCGCAGGCUAGUUUGGGUGGUGCCUCUUACCGAAAGUGGUAGUGAUUUUCCCAUGACGGACUUUGAUACGAUGCAGAAUUUUGAUGUGUAUAAACUAUAAACCUAUUCAGAGCAUACGAAAUAUUUAUAUAUAUAUAUAUUUAUAUAUAUAUAUAUUUAUAUAUAUAUAUAUGCAAAUCAAAUAUAUAGAAUGUAUGUGAAGAAAAAAAAAAAAAAAGAAAUGUUUAAUGAAAUCACACAAACAAGUGAAUCCUAUAAGUGUUUUCGAGAAUUUGCCGCUAUUAACGACGUCCAUUAGAUGUUUACUGUAAUCAAUCAACCAAUAUAUCCUACAAUUCACACAAAAUCGGGCACAUCGACUUUAACUUAUCAAACUGUUUAAAUCCAAAUAUAAAUUGAACAUAUUUGGAAUGCAUCAUUGUGGCAUGUGUUUUAUUUUUGCAUUUGUGAAACGC